AGUGUACGCUGGCGGUAGGCCUAACACAUGCAAGUCGAACGGCAGCACAGUAAGAGCUUGCUCUUACGGGUGGCGAAUCGCGGACGGGUGAGGAAUACAUCGGAAUCUACUUUUUCGUGGGGGAUCACGUAGGGAAACUUACGCUAAUACCGCAUACGACCUACGGGUGAAAGCAGGGGAUCUUCGGACCUUGCGCGAUUGAAUGAGCCGAUGUCGGAUUAGCUAGUUGGCGGGGUAAAGGCCCACCAAGGCGACGAUCCGUAGCUGGUCUGAGAGGAGGGUCAGCCACACUGGAACUGAGACACGGUCCAGACUCCUAAGGGAGGCAGCAGUGGGGAAUAUUGGACAAUGGGCGCAAGCCUGAUACAGCCAUACCGCGUGUGUGAAGAAGGCCUUCGGGUUGUAAAGCCCUUUUGUGGGGAAAGAAAAGCAGCAGGUUAAUACCCCGCUGUUCUGACGGUACCCAAAGAAUAAGCACCGGCUAACUUCGUG
rnacentral:rRNA from 1 species